GAUGAAGAACGUAGCAAAAUGCGAUAAGUAAUGUGAAUUGCAGAAUUCAGUGAAUCAUCGAAUCUUUGAACGCACAUUGCGCCCGCCAGUAUUCUGGCGGGCAUGCCUGUUCGAGCGUCAUUUCAACCCUCAAGCACAGCUUGGUGUUGGGACUCGCGUUAAUUCGCGUUCCCCAAAUUGAUUGGCGGUUACGUCGAGCUUCCAUAGCGUAGUAGUAAAACCCUCGUUACUGGUAAUCGUCGCGGCCACGCCGUUAAACCCCAACUUCUGAAUGUUGACCUCGGAUCAGGUAGGAAUACCCGCUGAACUUAAGCAUAUCAAUAAGCGGAGGA
rnacentral:misc_RNA from 1 species